rnacentral:rRNA from 1 species
AGUUGUAAUUUGUAGAGGAUGCUUUUGGUGAGGUGCCGCCCGAGUUCCCUGGAACGGGACGCCACAGAGGGUGAGAGCCCCGUCUGGCUGGCCACCGAGCCUCUGUAAAGCUCCUUCGACGAGUCGAGUAGUUUGGGAAUGCUGCUCAAAAUGGGAGGUAUAUGUCUUCUAAAGCUAAAUAUUGGCCAGAGACCGAUAGCGCACAAGUAGAGUGAUCGAAAGAUGAAAAGCACCUUGAAAAGAGGGUUAAACAGUACGUGAAAUUGUUGAAAGGGAAGCGCUUGUGACCAGACUUGGGCGCGGCGAAUCAUCCGGGGUUCUCUCCGGUGCACUUCGCCGUGUUCAGGCCAGCAUCAGUUCGGCGCGGGGGAAAAAGGCUUCGGGAACGUGGCUGCUCCGGCAGUGUUAUAGCCCGUUGCAUAAUACCCUGCGCUGGACUGAGGACCGCGCAUCUGCAAGGAUGCUGGCGUAAUGGUCACCAGCGACCCGUCUUGAAACACGGACCAAGGAGUCGUCUUCGUAUGCGAGUGUUCGGGUGUCAAACCCCUACGCGUAAUGAAAGUGAACGCAGGUGAGAGCUUCGGCGCAUCAUCGACCGAUCCUGAUGUUCUCGGAUGGAUUUGAGUAAGAGCAUACGGGGCCGGACCCGAAAGAAGGUGAACUAUGCCUGUAUAGGGUGAAGCCAGAGGAAACUCUGGUGGAGGCUCGCAGCGGUUCUGACGUGCAAAUCGAUCGUCAAAUAUGGGCAUGGGGGCGAAAGACUA